AGUUUUUUUGUUCCCAGGAUAUGGAAGCCAUAUGUCAUUCCAGAUGUUAAUAGUCUUUCUGUCGCCUAUUCUCUAACCAACCCCUGAUUUUAAUCCCGAAGAACAAAUUCCAGAGGUCGAUCGAGAAAAACGAAAGGUUUUGGAAUAACCAGAACACGAUACAAAAUGAGUACCAAAGCUCGAGAACUCGUAAAGGUUGGAAGACGGUUAGAGAGUCAACAAACUAUCAACUAGUCCAGCUUUGGUACAUAGAUACUUUAUUUUGUUCAAUGGCAUGUAUAGGUAUUUUUGGGUCAUUUUGUCAUAUGUGUCAUUUGGCUAGCAAUGUAAAGGCUUGAAUGUUAUAUCUAUUCAUCUUGUGUAUGGCCUUGAUAUAUGGCUUGUAUUGGUGUAGGUUGCUAUCCUACUAAUCAUGCAAUUUUUACUUGUUGAAAUAAUUACAUGGUGUAUUAUGAAUGGAUACGAUAAA